rnacentral:misc_RNA from 1 species
CAGAGAUCAUGCCCGUAAAGGGUAGACCUCCCACCCUGUGUUAUUUACGAUUGUUGCUUUGGCAGGUCGCCUUCGGGCACUCGGCUUUGGCUGAGGUGCCCCUGCCAGAGGACCCUAAACUCUGUGCUUGGUGUUGUCUGAGUACUAUAUAAUAGUUA